rnacentral:rRNA from 1 species
UACGUAGGGGGCUAGCGUUGUCCGGAAUCAUUGGGCGUAAAGAGCGUGUAGGCGGCUCGGUAAGUCCGCUGUGAAAGUCCAGGGCUCAACCCUGGAAUGCCAGUGGAAACUGUCGAGCUAGAGUCCGGAAGAGGCGAGUGGAAUUCCUGGUGUAGCGGUGAAAUGCGUAGAGAUCAGGAGGAACAGCCGGUGGCGAAGGCAGAUCUCUGGGCCGUAACUGACGCUGAGGAGCGAAAGCAUGGGGAGCGAACAGG